rnacentral:rRNA from 1 species
UACGAAGGGGCAAGCGUUGUUCGGAAUCAUUGGGCGUAAAGGGCGCGUAGGUGGUUCUGUAUGUCUACCGUGAAAGCGUACGGCUCAACCGUAUUUUGUCGGUGGAAACUGCAGGACUUGAGGCUGGGAGGGGCUGGUGGAAUUCCCUGUGUAGCGGUGAAAUGCGUAGAGAUGGGGGAGAACACUCGUGGCGAAGGCGGCCAGCUAGACCAGUUCUGACACUGAGGCGCGACAGCGUGGGGGAGCAAACAGG